UACGAAGGGGGCUAGCGUUGCUCGGAAUCACUGGGCGUAAAGCGCACGUAGGCGGCUUUCUAAGUCGGGGGUGAAAUCCUGGAGCUCAACUCCAGAACUGCCUUCGAUACUGGAGAGCUUGGAGUCCGGGAGAGGUGAGUGGAACUGCGAGUGUAGAGGUGAAAUUCGUAGAUAUUCGCAAGAACACCAGUGGCGAAGGCG
rnacentral:rRNA from 1 species